rnacentral:rRNA from 1 species
AGAGUACGUGAAACUGCUUAGAGGUUAAGCCCGAUGAACCUGAAUAUCCAUUAUGGAAAAUUCAUCGCUAAUACUAAUAUAUUAAUAAUAUAAAAGAAAUGGCGUGCAAUUUUUCCAUAUAAGGACAUUGUAAUCUGUUAAUGUAUUAAUUAUUUAUCAAAAGAUCUUUUACGUAAGUUUAUCCAAAUUAGUUAUUUUCGGAUUUCUAACAUAAGAUAAAUGUAUUAGAUUUGAUAAAUCAUUGACAGAUUUAAUUAUAUAUAGUGCUUAAAUUUUUCGGAAUUUUACAAUGAUAUAUAAAUCUAUCGAUUUAAAUAUUUAUAUUGUAUGCACUUAUAUGAUUAACAAUGCGAUAGAUUCAGGAUACCUUCGGGACCCGUCUUGAAACACGGACCAAGGAGUCUAACAUAUGUGCAAGUCAUUGGGUAUUUUUAAUAAAACCCAAAGGCGUAAUUAACUUAACUGUUUUAAUGGGAUUAGUUUAAAUUUUAUUAUGAAAUAUAAAUUCAAUCCCGGGGCGUUCUAUACGGUUAUGUAUAAUAAUAUUUAUAUUAUUUAUGCCUCUA